rnacentral:rRNA from 1 species
AACAAACGCUGGCGGCGUGCCUAAUACAUGCAAGUCGAACGGGGAAAGCUUUCGGGUGAGUACUAGUGGCGCACGGGUGAGUAACGCGUGGAUAAUCUGCCUUAGAGUGGGGGAUAACUAGUCGAAAGAUUAGCUAAUACCGCAUAAGACCACAAGAACUGCGGUUCAAGAGGUCAAAGGUUUUUCGCUCUAAGAUGAGUCUGCGUAAGAUUAGCUAGUUGGUGAGGUAACGGCUCACCAAGGCAACGAUCUUUAACUGGUCUGAGAGGAUGAUCAGUCACACUAGAACUGAGACCCAGUCCAGACUCCUACGGUAGGCAGCAGUAGGGAAUAUUGCACAAUGGAGGAAACUCUGAUGCAGCGACACCGCGUGAGUGAUGAAGGCCUUCGGGUCGUAAAGCUCUGUCGCAGGGGAAUAACACAAUGAAUGUACCCUGUAAGAAAGGAUCGGCUAACUUCGUGCCAGCAGCCGCGGUAACAC